CCCUGUCAAUUUCUUUGAGUUUCAACCUUGCGGCCGUACUCCCCAGGCGGUCAACUUCACGCGUUAGCUUCGUUACUGAGUCAGUGAAGACCCAAUAACCAGUUGACAUCGUUUAGGGCGUGGACUACCAGGGUAUCUAAUCCUGUUUGCUCCCCACGCUUUCGUGCAUGAGCGUCAGUACAGGUCCAGGGGAUUGCCUUCGCCAUCGGUGUUCCUCCGCAUAUCUACGCAUUUCACUGCUACACGCGGAAUUCCAUCCCCCUCUACCGUACUCUAUGCUAUGCAGUCACAGAUGCAGUUCCCAGGUUGAGCCCGGGGAUUUCACAACUGUCUUACAUAACCGCCUGCGCACGCUUUACGCCCAGUAAUUCCGAUUAACGCUUGCACCCUACGUAUUACCGCGGCGGCUGGCACA
rnacentral:rRNA from 1 species